AUGGGAAAUUUAAAACCUGUUAGUAAUUUCAGCCAUGAUAGCUCAAAUCAGAUUUGCGCUACAGGUGGAACUCAACAGAGUAAAAAUGAGUUCAUCUGUUGUGAACUGAGGAAGGUUUGCAAUACUGAGAUUCUGCAGGUUAACAUCAGUACAACACUCAAGAAUAGUAAUAAUUUGAGAAAAUACAACAGACCAUGGCUUUUGCCUUGCAUAAAUAAGUCUUCUACGCACAAUCUAAUUGGCUACCUUUGUCAUGAUUGUCUCUGUUUUACCUGGGGCCUGAUACAUCUGAGGCUAGAGGUGGAGCUGAAGAGCUCAGAUUUCCUGUGCUACCAAAAUUUGCUGGAGUUGUUACAACAAAGUUAUGUUCUAUGUUGA
rnacentral:rRNA from 1 species